rnacentral:rRNA from 1 species
GUGCACCAGUCGCGAAUCUUCCACAAUGGGGAAACCCUGAUGGAGCGACGCCGCGUGCGGGAUGAAGGCCCUAUGGGUUGUAAACCGCUGUUCAGUGGAAAGAACAUCCUCCGGCUGAAUAGGUCGGAGGCCUGACGUUACCACUGCAGAAAGUCCCGGCCAACUCCGUGCCAGCAGCCGCGGUAAUACGGGGGGACGGAGCGUUGUCCGGAAUCAUUGGGCGGUAAAGGGACGGCGUAGGCGGCGAGGAAAGUACGAAUAGUGAAAUCUUGCGGCUCAACUGCAAAACUAGCGUUCGAAACUUACCUCGCUUGAGUAUGAGAGAGGUGUGCGGAAUUCCUGGUGUAGCGGUGGAAUGCGUAGGUAUCAGGA